ACGGAAGGCAGCAGUGGGAAUAUUGCACAAUGGGGGUAACCCUGAUGCAGCGACGCCGCGUGGGUGAUGAAGUAUUUCGGUACGUAAAGCCCUAUCAGCAGGGAAGAUAAUGACGGUACCUGACUAAGAAGCUCCGGCUAAAUACGUGCCAGCAGCCGCGGUAAUACGUAGGGGGCAAGCGUUAUCCGGAUUUACUGGGUGUAAAGGGAGUGUAGGUGGUCUGGCAAGUCAGAUGUGAAAGCCCGCGGCUCAACCGCGGGACUGCAUUUGAAACUGUCAGACUGGAGUGCAGGAGAGGAAAGUGGAAUUCCUAGUGUAGCGGUGAAAUGCGUAGAUAUUAGGAGGAACACCAGUGGCGAAGGCGGCUUACUGGACUGUAACUGACGUUGAGGCUCGAAAGCGUGGGGAGCAAACAGGAUUAGAUACCCUGGUA
rnacentral:rRNA from 1 species